rnacentral:rRNA from 1 species
CCUACGGGUGGCAGCAGUGGGGAAUAUUGGACAAUGGGCGAAAGCCUGAUCCAGCCAUGCCGCGUGUGUGAAGAAGGCCUUCGGGUUGUAAAGCACUUUCAGUGGGGAAGAAAGCCUUGGGGCUAAUACCCUCGAGGAAGGACAUCACCCACAGAAGAAGCACCGGCUAACUCCGUGCCAGCAGCCGCGGUAAUACGGAGGGUGCGAGCGUUAAUCGGAAUUACUGGGCGUAAAGCGCGCGUAGGCGGUCUGAUAAGCCGGUUGUGAAAGCCCCGGGCUCAACCUGGGAACGGCAUCCGGAACUGUCAGGCUAGAGUGCAGGAGAGGAAGGUAAAAUUCCCGGUGUAGCGGUGAAAUGCGUAGAGAUCGGGAGGAAUACCAGUGGCGAAGGCGGCCUUCUGGACUGACACUGACGCUGAGGUGCGAAAGCGUGGGUAGCAAACAGGAUUAGAUACCCUUGUAGUC